AAAUUACUUUGCUCUAUUAAACUAAACUUUUUUAUUUAUGGGUUAGGGUUUAAUCGAAUAUUUUACUUUACUACAAUGUAAACUGACAGCAAGGCACCAAACUGAUUUUUUUUAUUUUAAUCAAAGCAUUUUUAUUAGAUUGAGUGAUUCGCGCAUGCGCAUUUUUUAAAAAGUUCUGGCGGAAACUUAUUUCCACCUCAAUCUUCCAUUGCAGAGGACGUUGUGAAAAAUAUCAGACCCCACGGCAUUUUGGUAACGUUAAGGAGAGCUGCCACAAGAUCCACUGUGUUCCUGCUGUGCAACCACCAGUUUGGAAGUCCCUCAUCUUAUUGUAUUAUCCAUGUAUGUAGAAAUUUAAACUACAGAAAACCAACAACCGUCAAACAAAAAAAGAAAAGAUGGCAAAGACGUUUGGAUACCGUAGACAAGAAAUAGUGCAUAAGCAGCCGAGCAUUGAAGACAUGUUGACAAGAUGGCCAGCACUUUUUCAGAUGGAAGAGAUUAAUGCUGAGUUCAUGCGGGUGACAACAGUACCCUGGAGACAAAGUUCUUAGCGCAGUUGGACAAGCACACGUCAAAACUGCUGGAGGUCAUCAGGAGCAAGGGAGGGCGUGUGAAAGAGCUGACCAAGGCAACUUUGCAGGUUUUAGAUGAGACCGUGGACAUCACAAUUAGAAGAGAGUGCAUCUUCAAAUCUUUGAUGAUCUACCUGGGUGAACCUGUUCAUCAUCUCAUUAAAGACUGCCAGGAAAAUGAAGCAGCCAUGGUAAUCGUCAGUGGAAACGAGGACAUUAAAAUCGUCAUUGACGGAACAGAGGUCCUCAGAGAGGUGCCCACAAUAGCAACGGCUGUUGCUAUGUUCUUCGGGCUCACCUAUGUUCUCAACAUAAAAUAUCCCAAAAAUCUGCACUAUACCCUUGAGUUUGUGCAAAAGGUCCUGAUGAAGCUUGGUG